ACAACAUAUAUAGUCACCUACCCAAAACUUAACCAGUGUAUAGUGUAGGUGACAAGUAAUUAAAAGCGACUAAACACAUUUUUUUUUCUUGGUUGAAGACAGUUUCAAGUUCCUUGCGGUGAUAAUGCUAGUCAUCCCUGCUUAUGAUAUCAUUUAGGUACUUCUCAACUCCUUACCACUUCCAAAACUGGAUAUAGUCGCAGUCCCUGAAUUUUCUGGUGGGGCUAUGGAGAGUUAUGGCGAUCACAUACUUGAAAACAGGCUACAUUAUGAAGGUUUGCUUUCUCCAGUUGUCAAGAAGCAGAUUCUCAUCAAUGGUUUGUCAAUCUGGUAACAAUGGAAUGGUGGAGUCAUUUAUGGCCUAAUGAGGGAUUUGCAACAUGGGAAAGCUAUAUGGCCACUAACUGCAUGUUUCCUGAGUGGAAAAUAUGGACUCAGUUUCUUCAACAACAGCUGAUGGCCUAAGUAUGGAUGCUCUGGAAUCACAUUUUAUUGAG